rnacentral:rRNA from 1 species
AUAAUGGGUCAGCGACUUAUAUUCUGUAGCAAGGUUAACCGAAUAGGGGAGCCGAAGGGAAACCGAGUCUUAACUGGGCGUUAAGUUGCAGGGUAUAGACCCGAAACCCGGUGAUCUAGCCAUGGGCAGGUUGAAGGUUGGGUAACACUAACUGGAGGACCGAACCGACUAAUGUUGAAAAAUUAGCGGAUGACUUGUGGCUGGGGGUGAAAGGCCAAUCAAACCGGGAGAUAGCUGGUUCUCCCCGAAAGCUAUUUAGGUAGCGCCUCGUGAAUUCAUCUCCGGGGGUAGAGCACUGUUUCGGCAAGGGGGUCAUCCCGACUUACCAACCCGAUGCAAACUGCGAAUACCGGAGAAUGUUAUCACGGGAGACACACGGCGGGUGCUAACGUCCGUCGUGAAGAGGGAAACAACCCAGACCGCCAGCUAAGGUCCCAAAGUCAUGGUUAAGUGGGAAACGAUGUGGGAAGGCCCAGACAGCCAGGAUGUUGGCUUAGAAGCAGCCAUCAUUUAAAGAAAGCGUAAUAGCUCACUGGUCGAGUCGGCCUGCGCGGAAGAUGUAACGGGGCUAAACCAUGCACCGAAGCUGCGGCAGCGACGCUGAUGCGUUGUUGGGUAGGGGAGCGUUCUGUAAGCCUGCGAAGGUGUGCUGUGAGGCAUGCUGGAGGUAUCAGAAGUGCGAAUGCUGACAUAAGUAACGAUAAAGCGGGUGAAAAGCCCGCUCGCCGGAAGACCAAGGGUUCCUGUCCAACGUUAAUCGGGGCAGGGUGAGUCGACCCCUAAGGCGAGGCCGAAAGGCGUAGUCGAUGGGAAACAGGUUAAUAUUCCUGUACUUGGUGUUACUGCGAAGGGGGGACGGAGAAGGCUAUGUUGGCCGGGCGACGGUUGUCCCGGUUUAAGCGUGUAGGCUGGUUUUCCAGGCAAAUCCGGAAAAUCAAGGCUGAGGCGUGAUGACGAGGCACUGCGGUGCUGAAGCAACAAAUGCCCUGCUUCCAGGAAAAGCCUCUAAGCAUCAGGUAACAUCAAAUCGUACCCCAAACCGACACAGGUGGUCAGGUAGAGAAUACCAAGGCGCUUGAGAGAACUC